ACUUGCAUGCAUUUACAGACACACAUUCAUACACAUGCAUAGCAUACAUAAAUACCUACAUGUAAUACAUGAAUGCAUACACUCAUGCAUACAUACACUGACUUGCUCAAUUCCAGUCCCUCAAGUUUUCGAAGCCUACCUGAUACUGGAUUGAGCUGACUUUUGGUAAUUAACAGUUCUUCCAAAGUGACUUUUUCAACAAAACACUUGUAUUAUACAGAAGGGACAUAGAAUAGGACAAAGAAGGGGAUAUUGUUCAAGUCUGUUCCUGAUUAUUGAACAAGAAAAUAGUUUGGCAUGGAGCAUGGAGCAGGAGAAGAAAAAGGAAAGAAGAAAUGUUGAAAAUGUUUCCUAGAAAAGAACAAUGAAAUUAUUACAGGAAAAUGGUGCAAAAACAAGACAGAGAGAAAGUUAGAAGGGAAGUAUUAAUUUCAAGUCUCAUCUAACCCUGACAUGUAGUAGUGCAAUUAUACUACAGAAUCAAGCUAAUGUGUAACAUUGGCCAUACAUAUAUACAUUCAUAUAUAAUAAAUCAAUAUCCACAUACAUACAUACAUACAUACAUACAUACAUACAUAUAUACAUACAUACAUACAUACAUUCAUACAUACAUAUUAACAACUGACAAGUCCCUUAACCCCUUGUGGGUUGUUGGAGUGCUGCAGUCUUGCAGUGUAUCUAGGGUGAAAAAGCCUAGAGAGCCCAUCCGUCUCAUACAUAUAUACACAUAUAUACACAUACAUGCACAGACACAGACACAGAAACACAGACACACAGACACACACACACACACACACACACACACAUGCACGCACACACAUAAAUAUAUGCAUGUAUAUAUAAAUAUAAAUAUUCAUAGGCUCAUGCGCAUACUUAUAUUUAACUAUCUAUCUGUCUGUCUAUCUAUCUAUCUAUCUAUCUAUCUGUCUAUGUCUGUAUGUGUGUGUGUAUGCACUGUUGUGGAAUCUGGAUUUUGGAUACCUGGUGAAUUUGACUGAAAUCAGACAAUGUAGAUAACAUAAGACUCAGAUUGAAUGCUGCAGAACGAGAAAAUUGUACAUUACAAGUCCAAUCUGUGAGUGGAACAGUAAAAAUAUGCAAAACUUUUCUCAAGUUCCAAAUGUGAAUUUGCCUUUAUUAACUACAUUCCAAAAAUGGAGCCUUGUAUCUUUGUUGGAAACCAGCUCCCUCCUCAGCGGAAAGAUUUAUAAUGAUUAAUAAAUAGAAGAGACAUACAUACAUACAGACAUAAACACACCAGCAUUGGUUGUCAAGCAAUGCUAGGGGGACAAACACAGACACACAAACAUACACACACACAUAUACAUAUAUACGAUGGGCUUCUUUCAGUUUCCGUCUAUCAAAUCCACUCACAAGGCUUUGGUCAACCUGAGGCUAUAGUAGAAGGCACUUGCUCAAGGUGCCACGCAGUGGGACUGUACCUGGAACCAUGUGGCUGGUAAGCUAGCUACUUGCAACACAGCCACUCCUGCGCCUAUAUAUAUAUUUAUGUAUUUAUAUUGAUUAAUAGCUACUUACCACACAGCCACUCCUGUGCCUAUAUAUAUAUAUAUUUAUGUAUUUAUAUUGAUUGAUAGGUAGAUAGAUAGAUAGAUAGACAGACAAAUAUAGAUGUGUACGUAUAAAUAUAUAUGUAUGAAUCGUUGCUAUUAUGCAAGUGUCAUGAGUCCAAAACAUUGUUUUUCAGAAAACAAAAAAAUAGUUUUACCAUUCCAUUUCUUUUUAUGCUAGCAACAGUCUCAGCUUAACAAUAAUAUUUUGUUGGAUGCAUAAGAUUGUAACUCCAUGCAUGUGUGAUAUUUUCAGUCAGAAAUAUUUUUGCAAAACUGUCGUAUGUGAGACUUUUGAAAAAUGCUAAAUUGUUGUACUACACUUUUGACAAUUUUCAUAUCUUGGCAUCUGAAGCAGCUGGAGAUAAAACAGUUUGACCAAAUGAACUGGCUAAUGCAAGCAAAAUUAAAUAUUGAAAAAAACGCAUUUGGUGAAAUUUGGACAUACUAUAGUUUAACAUAAUAGCAAUGAAGUAUAUGUAUAUGUAUGCAUCUAUUAUAUAUCCCAGUUUCCAUCAUUAAGCCCGUUGUAAUAUAUUUUUGCAUGGGUGGUUGGGAUUCCCUAGUACCAUAUGUUACCUCUUAUCAAAAUCUUUUGUUAGUUUGUCAGUGAAGUGUAACAUCUUGAGAUCAGUCUACCCCACGUCUUUAGAAGCCAUCUUAGUCAUCUGUUUCCUCAUGUUACAUUCAUUUUAAGUGCUCAACAUUUCUUCAUACAGCUGUGAACCACCAUUACUAACACAAGCCCACAGCAGUGCUGUCUUCUCUCUUACACGCUACCUUUGAUUCUUCUCCAUCAUUCAUGUAGAUUAAUAUUACACAUUCAGUGAGCAUACUAGUUUCAUUUCAUUAUAGUCCUCACAAAUCUUCUGUUUUCAAAGUUCAUUUCUCCCUACCAUGCAGCAUUGUACCUUGUGCUAAAGAAUAAUACAGUCUGCGCUUCAGUCUGACUGAGAAAUCCUUUGUUGCCAAAAGUAGAAAAGGAAUAGUUAGGAAUGGUGAUGAUGGUUGGUGAUGAUGCUUUCAGCAAACAAAUACAUCAUGAAGUACUGAGGGCUUUAAGUCUUCUGAGGUACAAGUAACCUCAAUAGUGCUGGUUCCAUGAUAAAAUGCACUUGUACACUCUGUAAAUCAUCAUCUUCAUGUUUUUUUUUUAUGUCUACUUUUCCAUGCUUGUAUCAGUUAAACGACAGAGUUUUCUAGCAACAAGAUGCCCUUACCGUCAACAACAUCCACUUCUUUCCAAGUGAUGUAAUAAUCUCCAAGUCUAUCAAGCCUGGACAAGUGUUAUGUGGAGAACUGGAAACAACUAACACCAUUAGUGAACCAUUGUUUACAAUCAGUAAACACACAUGAAGACAAGGGAAAUACAAACUCUCUCAGACAAACACAUAUACACACAAGAUAUACACAUAGAAACAUAUACAUAUCUAUAUACACACACACACACAUACAUGCAUACAUAUAUAUAAUAUAAUUGAAGAUGGAAUUGGUAACUACUAUUAUUGUUUACUUAAUUCUUCAAUAAUGAAACUGCAAACUGCUAUUAUCUUUUACAAGGUAUCUCCUUAAUUCUUUGAUCAUGGAACUGCUAACCACUACUAUCUUUCACUAUGGAUGUUACUUAAAUCUCUGAUGAACUGGUAAUUAUUAAUAUCCAUUAUUAAGGAUAUUCCUUAAUUCUUUCUCUCCAAAGAUGGAAUAAGUUGACUUACAUGGAAAUCUUUGCUUGAAAACAUAUGUUCCAUAUGCUCAGCUAUUCUAGAAACUAUUGAAGACAUGAAAAUCAGAUGGAGAGGAGAAAAGCAAGAAUUCUUCCUUUUGUUGCUACCGGGUGAAAGCCUCGUCAUGAUCUUGCCCAACUGGCGAUCGGUGGGACUUUCGUUCGUUUGUAACAAUUGGGCUCACAUCAAAGAGUUCAUCACUACCAGUACCACACAAAUGGAAGAAACAUAUAAAAUUUAAUAUUAUUUCAUUCAUGAUAAAUAUUAGGAUAAAUUGUAAACAUUUAUAUCCACUGAAUAUUAAUUAUCAUUUUUGCAUAUUAGAUAAUUCUGUUGCCUCAAAAUAAAACUGGAGUUAUUAUGGCUAUGUCUUGUGCAUACAAAGAGAUGCAUGACUGCUACUAUUGAGUUUAGUGCUCCACAUGGAUUACACUGUGUAACAUGAUUUUUGUCCUUGGGUAGCAACUGUUGUUUUUAAUUUGCUUACCCCUACAAAGUAUCAAAAAUGGUUAUUUCCUUCAAAUUUUGCUUUUGUUACAUCUAUUCAAACACCAAAGAAUCCCUUUCGACAUGGCUAUGAUGUUCCACCAUUACUCCUGCUCAUGAUCAGAGAUGCACAUAAAGUCAGCCACUAAGGGACUGGCUCAAGUGGCCAAGGUCAAGCAACUGACAAACAAAUAUGUGGUAUUGAGGAGAAUAUUUGCUAUAACAAUAUUUCUGCUUCAGCAACUCAGAACUGAAUCUGGCUGAAAUAUAAUGGAAAAUAGGUCAGUUACAAAACAUUGAUGUUGGGGUCACAAAAGCAAAGUUUGAAGGGAAUAGUAGUCAUUUCCUUUGAUUUCUAGAUUGGAGUAAAUAGAAAAUAACUUUUACAGACCAAAACAAAAAACAAAAAAAAAUUAUGACACAGAUAACAUCAUCAAGUCUGCUUCCAGUAUAUUGGUUUAGCUAUUUACUAUACUUGCUAGUAUUACUAGUUGUGAUAUUCAGAGAAAAUGUUGGAGAAAAGGUGAUAAGCACUGGUUUCUAUCAUUUGUUUCCUAUGUAUGUUUCCCUAUUGUGGUUGUUUGGAACUACAGUCUGCUGUCCAAUGUCAGAUUUUAGAUAAUAUAAUGCAAUAAAAAUGUUCCCUUGAUGAUGCAUUUUGGUUAAGAUCCAAGUGCACUUGGAACACCCAAUGCAGAGUUCCAAACAGCCACAACGGUGAAACAUACAUAGGAACAAAUGAUAUUAAACUUGUGUUUGUUGUAAUUUCUCUUUUAUCAUAGGUAUGGUUUUUGUGACAUAAUGGUAAAUAAAAGGGAAAUUAACGAUUAACUUAGUGUACUACUUUUGGUGUGUUAUUUUUAUUGUUUUGCCAGUGUACCAUUGUUAGUUCAUGGUUUUCGUUUGUUGUUUUUAGUGUGUUGUUUUUGAUGUCCUCCUCCUCCUCACCACCACCACCACCAUCACCACCACCAUCAUCAUGUCCACUUUUCCAUGCUUGCAUAGAUUGAAUGGUAUUUGUUAAGGGAAAUUUUCUAUGGUUAGAUACCCUUCCUGACACCAACCCUUGCCCAUGUCAAGAUAAGGUAAUAUUGGUUUCAAAUUUUGGCACAAGGCCAGCAAAAUUCGUGGGAAGGGAUAAGUCAAUUACAUUGACACCCCUCACUCCCAAUGUUCAACUGGUACUUAUUUUAUCGGCCUCGCAAGGAUGAAAGACAAAGUUGGCCUCAGUGGCAUUUGAACUCAGAAUGUAAAAAUGGAUGAAAUACCACUAAAUACCACCUGGCAUACUAACGAUUCUGCCAGCUUGCCACCUUAGUAUCAAGGUCAAUAUUGGUUUAAAAUUUUGGCACAAGGCCAGCAAUUUCAGGGGAGGGCGUCAGUUGAUUACAUUGACCCCAGGGUUCAACUGGUACUUAUUUUAUUGACCUUGGAAGGAUGAAAGGAAGAGUCAACUUUGGCAGCAUUUGAACUCAAAAUGUAAAGAUGGACAAAAUGCUGCUGAACAUUUUGCCCAGUGUACUCGUGAUCCUGUCAGCUUGCUACCUUCCCAAAAAGGGUAAUAUUAACCCACGGUGAGAAAUAUUUUCACAGAUGUUUAUAAACAAAGAACAUUGCUUACAUGACUGUGACACUUAUUUUACACUGUCAUGAAAAGUCAAAGUGAGGAGACAGUAACACACACGCACAUGCAUGCAUGCACACACAUACAUACACAUGAUAGACAUCUUUCAAUUUCUGUUUAUCAAAUCCUGGGGCUAUAGUAGAAGACACUUAUCCAAGGCACCAUGCUGUGGGAACGAACCUGGGACCAUGUGGUUGGUAAGCAUGUUUCAUACCAUACGGCCAUACUUGUUUUUAAUGUAUUGUUUAUAAUGUGUUGCAUUUGUGUGCUGUUUCUAGGUAUCUUUUUUGUUGAUUCAAAUUUAUUUAAACUCUAUCUUUUCAAGAAAUUAUUUAUUUUAGAAACACCAAUUUAUAUUCCUUUAUCUAUAACAAUAAUGACUCAUUUAAAAUAGCUGUAAUUGCAUGGUAGAUGGAAAGCUGAUGAAAUUUUCAAAAUAUGAAUAAAAAAAUAAAAAAUUGAUUGGGUGUUUAUCCCCAAAUGUCUGAGUUAUUUUAAAACAUUUUGCGAGAGCUUUUAUGAAUUAUUAUAAUUGAUAAAGUAAUGUGUUUAGCAAUACAAAACUUUUGUUGAAAUGUGACCUCAUUCGAUGGUAGUUAACUUCAAUUCAGCCUUCCUGCAUAAAAUGGUUUCCCCCUCGUCUAAUUGGCUAAGUCUAAUUGAGGAUAUAAUUCAGCUGUGAAAAGAUAAAUCACCUUUAGAAUGUGUAGGAGCUACUAUAGGUUUAUUUCAACUUUUAGUCAUAACAAAAGCAGUUUUCUGGUUUAUAUUAGACUGUUGUAUAUCUAAGACGGUCAAGAGUAGUGAUAAGAGACAACUUUCAGUCCCACUCAUUGACAUUAAUAUAGUGUUUGGUUGUCUUAGAUAUGCUUAAUAGAAAAUACAUGUAUUAUUAAAACCAAUGAAAGAGUUUCUAAAUGGUCUGUCAAGCUGCUAGAAAUAACAGACAAAUCUCCAACACAUCACAUGUUACACUUUAAAAAUUGAAUGAUAUAUUAAGUAAUGUAGUCUUAGACAGGAUCUUUUCUGUUUGGCUACUUUUCAGUUUCUUCAAUUUCUGUUCCAAUUGAUUUCAUAUUUGGUGUAAUGAUGUAGUUUUGUAUGCUAAUCAUUGCUAUGAAAUUCAUUUACACCAUAAAUCAAUAAUUAAAGAGUAAUUUUAGCCAAUUGUAAGUCACAGACUCAUUCAUGCCUGUUUUCAUAGUAACAAGCCAAACAUGCAAACUCUUUGGUCUGCAAGGAAGCACAUAUGUUAACAAAUAUAUUCUAUGUGAAACCACAUAUGUUGAUACUGUGUUCUACUGCUUGUGCCCAUCUGUUUGGAAAUUUUAUCUGUCUGUUUGGAGAUGCAAAGAGUCUGUGUCUGUGAGGAAAGAUAUAUGGUUUGAAGGUGGCACCUGUUCUCUUGGAACAGUACUGCUUUUCCUUUACUCAUGGGUCAAGGAAUUGACUUCAGUCCACUUUUGUGUAGAAGAAUUGCAGAUGAGCCAUUGCACAGCUGUUGGGAAAUAUGUGCGGACCUGCUUGUCAUCCAUUUAAGAUUGGCAGCCCUGGGAAGAUUGUUGAGAUUGACAAAGCAGUCUUCUCAAGGUGUAAAUACAACUGAGGAAGGGUCCUACCUGAGCAGUGAGUUAUCAGAGGAGUGUGUCACAAGACCAGACAGGUUUUUUUUAUGAGGUGCCAUGUCAGAAUUGUGACAUACUGGAGAAAUGAACAUGUCACUUGAUUCUUCCAGGAACCACAAUUUUCAGUGAUUUGUGAAGGGCAUGUUCUCACAUUCCUAAAAUUACUGGUUACAAUUUUGAACAUAGAAUGGUGAACCACAGAGUUGGGUUCAUUAACUGAAACGAUGAUAUCCUCAUGCAACAAACAGAGAGUAUAUGGGCAUUUGUGAAGCAAGGUAAUAAACAAUGCUGUGGCACUCACUGGUGUAUGGUUGACUUAUAUCUCUGUAUGUUUAUGUAGUGCAAGAGAUAUGAAAAUUGUAAUUUGUUCAAGAAAUUACUUCAAUGUAUUUCAAACUUUCAUUUUCAAUGAAUU